rnacentral:rRNA from 1 species
GAUGAACGCUAGCGAUAGGCCUAACACAUGCAAGUCGAGGGGCAUCACAUGAGGCAGCAAUGCCGAUGGUGGCGACCGGCGCACGGGUGAGUAACACGUAUGCAACCUGCCUUCAACAAGGGGAUAACCCGUUGAAAGACGGACUAAUACCCUAUAACACAGGGGUCCCGCAUGGGAAUAUUUGUUAAAGGACAACCGGUUGAAGAUGGGCAUGCGUUCCAUUAGCUAGUUGGCGGGGUAACGGCCCACCAAGGCAACGAUGGAUAGGGGAACUGAGAGGUUUAUCCCCCACACUGGUACUGAGACACGGACCAGACUCCUACGGGAGGCAGCAGUGAGGAAUAUUGGUCAAUGGACGCAAGUCUGAACCAGCCACGUCGCGUGAAGGAAGACGGCCCUACGGGUUGUAAACUUCUUUUAUACGGGAAUAAAGUGCCCCACGCGUGGGGUUUUGCAUGGGUACCUAUGAAUAAGGAUC